UCCCUGGUGGCUCAGAUGGUAAAGCAUCUGCCUGCAAUGCGGAAGACCCGGGUUUGAUCCCUGGGUUAGGAA
rnacentral:tRNA from 1 species